CAGCGAAGAAAGCUAAAGUUGUGGAAACAGAUGGUUUCUCAAGCUGCAACCUGGAAGGGAGGGGAAGGAACGUCUAGGACCAGAGCAGUUCUACAGGGCUGCGGACACCUCAGGAAACUUACAAUCAUGGCGGAAGGGGAAGCAAACACGUCCUUCUUCACAAGGUGGCAGAAGAGAGAAGAAUGAGAGCCAAGCAAAAGGGGAAGCCCCUUAUAAAACCAUCAGAUCUGUGAGAACUCACUCACUAUCAGGAGGACAGCAGCAUGAGGGUAACCAUCCCCAUGAUUUUAUCACCUCCCACCAGAUACCUCCCAUGAUACAUGGGGAUUAUGGGAACUACAAUUCAAGAUGAGAUUUGGGUGGGGAUACAGCCAAACCAUAUCAUCCUCCAUUCUCCUUACGCUGGGGCUUAGAGUAAAUCUCUAAGUCCACCAGGCUUGAUUCAGUUGUAUAAAAGGAGCUUUAGGAACUUACAAAACCUUCUCUGUCUCCACUAAGCCUGAUUCUUGACAUGUCUGUUCCACUGUGGACACAGCCCUGUUUUGGGAGUCUGCACAUUGAGUCUGCCUCUCUUUGCCUUUCUGCUUCAAUAACCCCGAGCAUCCCUGAAACAGUGGUGCCUCUGGCUGAGUAAAAAGGUGGGAGAGCACUUAAGAAACUGGAAAAAAAAAAAACCACGUGACUUUAUUUUUAAAAUAUCAUUUCUUCAACUUUGGUUUGAAUUGUACCAGGUGUGUGACCUUGAGUGAGUCACCUAAUCCAGCAUCUAGAGCUUCCACUGAUGGAGCCUCAGUCCAGGCUGGCUCCCCACCCAGCUGUGGAGCACCCUUUCUCUGCAGAGGAGCUCUCCAGAGCUGCCUCCCACUGCCAGCUCCCUCUGUUCUCUGGUUGAUCCCAUGGGUCAUUUCCACUUCUAGCUGUGGGACCUUGGACAUGUUGGUUGACUUUGCCAAGACUCCAUUUCUUCACCUGUAAACUGGGGGCAGUAAUAGCCUCUCUUAGGACUGUUGUAUUAAAUUAAAUAAAGUCCUUGAAGCAGUGUCUGAUAUCAUAUAAGUGCCAUGCAAGUGUUAUCUCCCAUGAUUAUUGUUAUUUUCCAUUUUUUCCCUUCCUGAAGAACCCUUUGUGCCCUGAAGCUUUUUAUCCCAGUACGCAGGCCUGCCCAGUAUAGAGUUACUUAGUUACUGCUUCAUCUUGGGAUGGCUGCCUC
rnacentral:lncRNA from 1 species